AUACGUAGGUGACAAGCGUUAUCCGGAUUUACUGGGUGUAAAGGGCGUGUAGGCGGUUUAGCAAGUCAGAAGUGAAAUUCCCGGGCUUAACUUGGGCGCUGCUUCUGAAACUGCUUUACUUGAGUGCUGGAGAGGAUAGUGGAAUUCCUAGUGUAGCGGUAAAAUGCGCAGAUAUUAGGAGGAACACCGGUGGCGAAGGCGGCUAUCUGGACAGUAACUGACGCUGAGGCGCGAAAGCACGGGGAGCAAACAGGAUUAGAUACCCUGGUAGUCCGUGCCGUAAACGAUGAAUACUAGGUGUAGGGGGUAUCGACUCCCUCUGUGCCGCAGUUAACACAUUAAGUAUUCCACCUGGGGAGUACGGCCGCAAGGUUGAAACUCAAAUGAAUUGGCGGGG
rnacentral:rRNA from 1 species